UGUUUUUGUUUUGUUUUUCUCUUUUUGUUUUUUUGUUGUUGUCAUUAACGGUUGUUUGGUUGGUUUAUUGUUUGUGUGUGGGUUUUGCUUCUUGGGUAUAAUUUUAUUAAACAUUUACAAUACACCAUCAACACUUAAGCUGCAAUCUUAGGUAUAACUUGGAUCAUUAACCAUUAAGAAUAUGCCACCAAUCUUUAAGCUGAGGUCGCCUUCUCGGGAUUUUGUCAUCUACGUCAUCCAUGACAGCCUACAUCUAUCGUCAGAUUCAUCACGAAAAUUAAAAAAUAGAAAAAAGGCUUAUUUACCAGUUAUACUCGAAUUUUUACUAUUUAAAUAUUUACCAUCAAUAUUAAAGCUACAGUCUCGGAUAUGUGUUCAUUAUUUAAUCAUUUAGAAUACACCAUCAAAACUAAAGUUGGAGUAUUUGGUAUAUUUGAAUUAAUUAACCAUUUAGAAUGCACCAUCAACAUUAAAGCUGGAGUCUGGUAUAUUUUUGUUUUAUUAAUUAACCAUUUAUACUAUACCAUCACCAUUAAAGCUGGAGUGUUUGGUAUAUGUUUUAACCAUAUAGAAUAACCAUCAACAUUGAGGCUGAAGUAUUUGGGGGGUUUUAAAAUUGUUAUUAUUUAACUAUUUAGAAAUAUAUAUAUAUAUAUAUAUAUAUAUAUAUAUAUAUAUAUAUAUAUAUAUUGACUUGGAAUUUUGACUUAUGUUAUUAGUAGUUAUGUAAAUUGGGAAAUUUAAUUUUAAAAUUUCACAAUUUUCAGAUGCCAAAUCAUGUCAACAUGGUUUUGUCAGUUACAAAAACAGGUGUUACUGGUUUUCACCCAAAUCGGCGGACGCAUCAUGAACAGAAGUACAAGGAUAUUGUGAACGCAUGAAUUCCUACCUUGUUAAUAUUACGACAGCCCGA